rnacentral:rRNA from 1 species
GACGAACGCUGGCGGCGUGCUUAACACAUGCAAGUCGAACGGAAAGGCCCUGCUUUUGUGGGGUGCUCGAGUGGCGAACGGGUGAGUAACACGUGAGUAACCUGCCCUUGACUUUGGGAUAACUUCAGGAAACUGGGGCUAAUACCGGAUAGGAGCUCCUGCUGCAUGGUGGGGGUUGGAAAGUUUCGGCGGUUGGGGAUGGACUCGCGGCUUAUCAGCUUGUUGGUGGGGUAGUGGCUUACCAAGGCUUUGACGGGUAGCCGGCCUGAGAGGGUGACCGGCGGCAGUGGGAAUGAGAGACGGCCCAGACGCGUACGGGAGGCAGCAGGGGGGAAGAUGGCGCAAUGGCGGGAAGCCUGAGGCAGCAACGCCGGGGGCGGGAUGACGGCCUUUGGGUUGGAAACAGCGGUCGCCGGUGACGAAGGGGGCGGGACGGGAAUGGGUAAAGAAGAAACGGCUAACUAAGGG